rnacentral:rRNA from 1 species
GACGAACGCUGGCGGCGUGCUUAACACAUGCAAGUCGAACGAAGUGGCGAACGGGUGAGUAACGCGUAAUCAACCUGCCCUUAAGGGGGGGACAACAGUGGGAAACGACUGCUAAUACCGCAUACUGAUGGCGGGGAUGGCGUGUUAGUAGCUCGGUGGAGGGGUAACGGCCCGCCAAGGCGGUGACGGGUAGCAGGCGUGGGCGGGUGACCGUGCACAUGGGGACUGGGAUACGGCCCAGAGGCCUGCGGCAGGCAGCAGUAGGGGACAGUGGACACGGGGCGAAAGCCGGAUGCAGCGACGUCGCGUGGGGGAUGUAGGCUUUCGGGGUGUAAACCUCUUUCGCGAUCGAACGGGUAGGUGGAGAAGAAGCGCCGGCUAACUACGUGCCAGCAGCCGCGGUAAUUC